AGAGUUUGAUCCUGGCUCAGGACGAACGCUGGCGGCGUGCCUAAUACAUGCAAGUAGAACGCUGAAGGAGGAGCUUGCUUCUCUGGAUGAGUUGCGAACGGGUGAGUAACGCGUAGGUAACCUGCCUGGUAGCGGGGGAUAACUAUUGGAAACGAUAGCUAAUACCGCAUAAGAGUAGAUGUUGCAUGACAUUUGCUUAAAAGGUGCAAUUGCAUCACUACCAGAUGGACCUGCGUUGUAUUAGCUAGUUGGUGAGGUAACGGCUCACCAAGGCGACGAUACAUAGCCGACCUGAGAGGGUGAUCGGCCACACUGGGACUGAGACACGGCCCAGACUCCUACGGGAGGCAGCAGUAGGGAAUCUUCGGCAAUGGACGGAAGUCUGACCGAGCAACGCCGCGUGAGUGAAGAAGGUUUUCGGAUCGUAAAGCUCUGUUGUAAGAGAAGAACGAGUGUGAGAGUGGAAAGUUCACACUGUGACGGUAUCUUACCAGAAAGGGACGGCUAACUACGUGCCAGCAGCCGCGGUAAUACGUAGGUCCCGAGCGUUGUCCGGAUUUAUUGGGCGUAAAGCGAGCGCAGGCGGUUAGAUAAGUCUGAAGUUAAAGGCUGUGGCUUAACCAUAGUACGCUUUGGAAACUGUUUAACUUGAGUGCAAGAGGGGAGAGUGGAAUUCCAUGUGUAGCGGUGAAAUGCGUAGAUAUAUGGAGGAACACCAGUGGCGAAAGCGGCUCUCUGGUCUGUCACUGACGCUGAGGCUCGAAAGCGUGGGUAGCGAACAGGAUUAGAUACCCUGGUAGUCCACGCCGUAAACGAUGAGUGCUAGGUGUUAGACCCUUUCCGGGGUUUAGUGCCGCAGCUAACGCAUUAAGCACUCCGCCUGGGGAGUACGACCGCAAGGUUGAAACUCAAAGGAAUUGACGGGGGCCCGCACAAGCGGUGGAGCAUGUGGUUUAAUUCGA
rnacentral:rRNA from 1 species